UACGUAGGGUGCAAGCGUUGUCCGGAAUCAUUGGGCGUAAAGAGCGUGUAGGCGGCCAGAAAAGUCCGCUGUGAAAACUCGAGGCUCAACUUCGAGCUGUCGGUGGAAACUUUCUGGCUAGAGUCCGGAAGAGGAGAAUGGAAUUCCUGGUGUAGCGGUGAAAUGCGCAGAUAUCGGGAGGAACACCAGUGGCGAAGGCGACUUCCUGGCCUGUUCUUGACGCUGAGGCGCGAAAGCUAGGGGAGCAAACGGG
rnacentral:rRNA from 1 species